rnacentral:rRNA from 1 species
UGGGGAAUAUUGGACAAUGGGCGCAAGCCUGAUCCAGCCAUGCCGCGUGAGUGAUGAAGGCCCUAGGGUUGUAAAGCUCUUUCACCGGUGAAGAUAAUGACGGUAACCGGAGAAGAAGCCCCGGCUAACUUCGUGCCAGCAGCCGCGGUAAUACGAAGGGGGCUAGCGUUGUUCGGAUUUACUGGGCGUAAAGCGCACGUAGGCGGACUUUUAAGUCAGGGGUGAAAUCCCGGGGCUCAACCCCGGAACUGCCUUUGAUACUGGAAGUCUUGAGUAUGGUAGAGGUGAGUGGAAUUCCGAGUAUAGAGGUGAAAUUCGUAGAUAUUCGGAGGAACACCAGUGGCGAAGGCGGCUCACUGGACCAUUACUGACGCUGGGGUGCGAAAGCGUGGGGAGCAAACAGG